UACGUAGGGUGCAAGCGUUAAUCGGAAUUACUGGGCGUAAAGCGUGCGCAGGCGGUUUUGUAAGUCUGUCGUGAAAGCCCACAGCUCAACCUGGGAAUUGCGAUGGAGACUGCAAGGCUUGAAUCUGGCAGAGGGGGGUAGAAUUCCACGUGUAGCAGUGAAAUGCGUAGAGAUGUGGAGGAACACCGAUGGCGAAGGCAGCCCCCUGGGUCAAGAUUGACGCUCAUGCACGAAAGCGUGGGGAGCAAACAGG
rnacentral:rRNA from 1 species